rnacentral:misc_RNA from 1 species
UCCCUUAACCCCCCAAUGAAUCCAAACAGAAAAUUAGCUUCUCCAAGCCCUGGCAUAAAAUUCUACAUUCUAAUUCUCAAAUCCUCAAAUCUGUCUUGGUAUUCUUCCACACUACCCUCUUGCCUAAUCUUCAUAAAUUCCUCUACAAGAUCUUCCAAACCUUGCUUCCCAAAUCCAGCAUACAAUCCCUUCUCAAACUCUUCCCACACAUUAGUCCUUUCUCCUUUAACCCAAUUAUGGAACCACGCAUUUGCCCUUUCUACCAAAAAGAGACUAGCAAUACUCACCAUUUGUUCUUUAGGAACCUUAUAAACUUCAAAAUAUUUCACACACUUUCUAAUCCAUGCCCUAGGAUCCUUGCCAUCAAAAGUAACUAGUUCAAUUUUAGGGAGAAUGCUAGAGUUACCUUCAUAAUCCAGAGCAAUUGCAGAUUGAGAGCUGCUGCCCUGAUCCCUCUGUUAAUUCCUUGGCAUGGGUAAAAUCCCCCUAUCCUCAUUUCUUGCCACCAACCCAUCUCCAAUAUUGGUUCCUCUGCCCUUAUUAUUCAUCAAAUUCAACAACAAGGGUUUCAGUUCAUCAAGGAUUGCAUUCUUGAUGUUCAGAGAACCUGCUUCCAUCUCUUCUUUGAUAUUCAUCCUCAUAUCUGCCUUUAUUUCCUUCACCUCAGUUGUCAUCUCCUCAAAAUCUCUUUGAGAGGUCUCUCUCAAAAUUCUGAACUGCUCCUCCAACUCUGCCAUCCUCACAGCUUCAGCACUCACCACCUGAGAUCGAGACAUGUUGCGAGUCCCAACAAUAACUUCCAAGUGAUGCCACUGAUCAACAGAGCUCUGAUACCAACUUUUAGGGUUAUUCAACCCUUACAAAUAUUUCUUCCUAAAAUAGAAUAGAACAGAAGAAGAAAGGGGAGAAAUUAUAGAAGAAAGAGAGUAGAAACAGAUAGAAAAAGAUAGGAAGAAAGGAAGAAGGAGUUUAUUAUUGUGUAACGAUUCUUCUCUGAUUAUGCUAGGCUGUUAUGACUUUUUUUAUACGGCAAUAACUGCUACAGGCAACUGUUCCCGCCAAAACUCAUCCCUAACAACUCAUGCCAGCUGCAUCCCUAACAGCUCAUGCCAGCUCACUUAACUACACUAGACUUAUUCUUUCUAAACCUAAUUCUUUUGUAUGUAACAAUGAGUCUGCAAUUUGUGCUCACUUUUGUCAAUCUCAUUUCAAUUUAAUGUAAUCCUGCCUUAUUAUAUUGUUUAAAUGAGCAGAAAAUUCAGAUAAUGGUCAUAGUCAAUCUCCUUAAAUUCAAAAUUGGGCAUGGGAUUGGACAUACUGAAAUGAACUGAUGGUAAUGUGUAUUACCUGUCAGAAGUUCUUUGUGACGAGACAGAUUUAUCUGUCAAGGUUAAUUUCAGAAUCAGGAUAUAGUGAAAAGUUUGAACGCAUUGGAGAUUUCGUUUAACAUUUUGUGUUCAAAUAUAUAUCGUGUCUACGUGAGAUGUAAAGAGACUGUUUCAUGUUUAUUAGCUGAUUUGUUUAUUAUCAUGUGAAAUCGCUCCAUUUAUUUGACUUUAAUGCAAUGGUAAUGGCAGUGACAAGGAACGAGCACUCAUUGAGGAAUUGGCUUCACUUAGGUCUUUUAGCAAACGCAAUGUAGCUUCUUCCAACAGCUAUGGGACAUUCAAAAGCAAAGUUGGCGAGAACGUUAGUGAUGUAAAAGGCAAUGCUUCAAGUCAUGGAAUCAAAUCUGUCACAUCUUUUUCGAAAUCGAUUACAGACUUCUUGGGGCGGAGGCAAUCUCGAGAAAGGUUUACAUCACUUACUCUGGAAACAUCAGGAUUGUUGUGGAAUUCUAGGAAGCCAAGUUUCUCCAUCACAUGUUCACUAAUAGCAGUGUUCAUUGUAACCUGUAUUUUGACCACCAUACGAAGGAUUGAUGAGUACACAUUAUCACAACGAAGAAACUCUUCUCCUCGGUGUCUGCAGAACAUAAAAGAACAGCCUUGAAAGAUAAUUUCAGCCUAGGAUAAUGAUUAAACAGAUGCACUUAGGUGAAUUCUUUGCCCAGUCCUGGAUAAGAGGUGCAAUAUUGGAUGCGUUUGUUUGUUAUGCCUGCAGAGUUUAAGGUCAAGCAUGAAUCUGAUCCAGCAUCAUUAAGACCUGACUUGAAAGUGAUUACUGCAAGUCACUGCUGCAUUGUCCAGUUUCAAGAGCAGUUUACAGGAGAGAGAGACAGAGAGAGAGCCGUCCAGAUGUACUAUUGACAGGUUAUGAGUACUAUGGUAUGAAUUGAAUGUUCUUCAAAUUUGAACUUAAGUCGGCAGUUUUUUCCCCCUACCUCGAAAGGAAGUGUAUUGCUAACAUGAUCUCGUUUACAAUCAAUAUUAAAUUAUAUCAGCCUGAAAUCUCAUUGACCUGAAACAGCUACAAGUUGGCAAUUGCAUGAUUUGGACUUCUGUGCUGAAACUGAUGGUGUUCAUAUGGAGAAUUUUUUUUUUCUUUUUUAAUUUACAGUCAUGGGUAUAUUCUUGAGUUAGUUUUCGCACUUCGAAAUUUAGGUGUUCACUUUGGAUGAUUUAAAGAACUUUGAUUGAUAAGGAAUGAGCUUUUAUUCUUGCCAA